CUGGUGCAAUGGGAUCUGGAAGCAUCUCUAAGAGAGUGUGCAUCCGAGAGGUGAUUGUUGCAUGACAGGAGGUGGCAAGAAAGGUUUCAUCCUUGUCCAGUACUGCCUAUGAGUGGGAGGCCAUAGAGAAGCAAGAGCUUCAGGGUUUGUGUGAGAACCCAGCCCUAUAUAGUCAACCAUUACAACACUUUCAUUAUCAUGGACAUAAUACAGAACUAUGUCUUGGUGGCAUAAUCAACCAAAGUAGAGGAAUCAUGAAUAAAGUCAGCAACCGGUCUCAGAAAAACUUACCAGCUGCAAGCAGACUCCUGCUGCCUUAAGAAGAUGAUCAAAAGUGACUAAGAGCAAACACCCACGUCUAUCUCCAGCCUCACAGCAAGUCUUGCCAUUUUCUUAACCAAGCCACAGAUAUGAAUACAUCUAAAUCUUCAAAGCACUUUCCAUUGACUGAUUAAUCCUAACUACAUCCCUCAGUGAUGGAAACUAGUAUUACUGUCUCCAUUUAGCUGAUGGCUUAGAUGGCUUUGCUUAAGACGGGAUGGAGAUAGAGAUUUAGGGGGAAGAGGGGGGAUUGAACUUGGCAUUUUACAGAGUUCUUACUUUUCCUUAAAGACAACUUUCAGAUGGUCCCAAAUUGUAAGGGUGUUUAGCUCUCAUUCCCAAAAAUGCUCUUUAAAUCGGGCUUCCCCAACCUCGGCCCUCCAGAUGUUUUUGGCCUACAACUCCCAUGAUCCCUAGCUAGCAGGACCAGUGGUCAGGGAUGAUGGGAACUGUAGUCUUAAAACAUCUGGAGGGCUGAGUUUGAGGGAGCCUGCUUUAAAUAUUUGCUUUUGUAUGGAAACCCCCAUAUCCAUAGCACCAAACUGGAAAUUCCAAGACGUAUCAUAAAAUGUAAAGUUCAAAAAUACCAAAGCAAAACGCACACAUUAAGAUCCACACUUUAAUCAUAAGCAACACAUUAAAAUGCCCAUUGCAGACUCAUCACAGCACCAGGUCAAAUAAAACCACAAACAAAGCGGCCAUCAUUGACAGUUAACACGUGUGGUUUAAUGCCUGUGCAAAUCACAGAAUGGAGAGGCCUCAACAUGGCACUUUAGGGAGGGCGCUCCAUACUUCGGACACUGCAAUUGAAAACUCCAACCUCUGUGUCCACCCAUCAUAUUUCCACUGGCAGCAGAACACUGAGUAGGGUCUCUGAAGUUUAUCUUAACAUACAGAAAGAACAUAACACAGGGCUGCAAAAUCUUGGGGUUCCAGGCCAGUUCUGGCCUGCCAAGAGGUGUAAUUUGGCCCCCAAUGGCCCCCAAUCCUGGGUAAUGUCAGCAGAUGGGUGGAGGACAGAGCCUAGCCCAGUCCUGCUCCCUGCAGGGGAUGUGUUGAUGAAACACACACAGGUCAACUUUGACAGGUGGGUAGGACUAGCUACCUAUCAAUCACUUGACAUCAUCAAUGAUGUCAGAUGGGUGACUGCCUCACCUGUCUAAGGUGGCCCAUGGAGUGGGGAGAGAUAAAGAUCUGGCCUGAUGGGUCAAAAAGGUUCUUCACCCCUGCCAUAAUGGAAAAGCUUGUUUAUCAGAUAUCCAAGUUUGAGAUAGCUUUAGGGAUUAACCCCGGAACUUUUAACUGAGCUUGGGAGCAAACAGAUACUAUGUUUGUUUGUGUGGUCAACUUGUAUAUCACUUUAUAUUUCAAGAACUCUCUAAGUGGUUUACAAAACUCAGCCAAAAAAAUCAGUGUAUAUUAUAUAAAAAUAUAAAUUCCACAUUCAGAACUACUACUACUAAUGUGCACUAUUUUAAGAAGCACAGUUAAAAAUGAACAUUGUACAUAAAAUAACAUGAAUGAAAACAAAAGUGAAUCAUAUACAAAAGAAAAAAUGUCCAGACACAACCACUUAAUUACGAUAGAUAGAUUAAAAACCUCACAUUUUACGAGAGAGAGAGAGAGAGAGAGAGAGAGAGAGAGAGAGAGAGAGAGAGAGAGAUUAUUUAAUACAUAACAUCAUAAAUUCAAAAUAUGGGCAACACUGCUGAGAAAAUGAGAGGCUUUUUUUGCCUUAUGGUGAACGAGAUGCUGAAAACAGUUGACAUAAAAAGAUGGAAGCCAUGUUUCCAUUUCUCUCAAUGCUGUAAGCUUUUUGUGGAAAUUGCUGUACAAUAACACUGUGGGACAGGCCCUGUGGGAUGGUAAUGAGUGGUUUGGCAAGUAGCGAGCAUUUAUUUACCUCUUGACCUAGGAGUUGCAACUACACACAAACUCCAUCACUUUUGUAAAUUGUUUCUGCCCUGCACAGAAAUGAUUUGCCUGAGGGAACAGCUCAGUAGGACAUUAUUCUUGUUGAGGUCUCCCUCAUACAUUGCACAUAUAAGCACAUUGCAGCUGCUCCACUGAAUUCAGUCCCACUGAAUUCUGAAUAACCAUGCCUAUAAUUGGACUGAAAUCAAACCUCGGAGUUUUAUGACAAGACAGGACAACUGUAAAGAAUAUCAGUAUGCAUAUAAUGUUCUUUACCCUUGUUCUGAGGAAGGAACAGGGAGAAGGUUGCCCAAGAAAUACCGGUAUAGUGUUUUAUAUUGUGGAUUCGCGAACUGUUAUGCUCAUUUUGCCUUCAGUAAAUAAUGACUGGAUUAAA